GAUGAACGCUGGCGGCGUGCCUAAUACAUGCAAGUCGAGCGAACAGACGAGGAGCUUGCUCCUCUGACGUUAGCGGCGGACGGGUGAGUAACACGUGGAUAACCGACCGUUAGGACUGGGGUAACUUCGGGAAACCGGAGCUAAUACCGGUUAAUAUGUUGAACGGCAUGGUUCAAUGGUGAAAGACGGUUUUGCUGUCACUUAGAGAGGUUUCCGCGCCGCAUUAGCUAGUUGGUAAGGUAACGGCUUACCAAGGCAACGAUGCGUAGCCGACCUGAGAGGGUGAUCGGCCACACUGGAACUGAGACACGGUCCAGACUCCUACGGGAGGCAGCAGUAGGGAAUCUUCCGCAAUGGGCGAAAGCUUGACGGAGCAACGCCGCGUGAGUGAUGAAGGUCUUCGGAUCGUAAAACUCUGUUAUUAGGGAAGAACAAAUGUGUAAGUAACUAUGCACGUCUUGACGGUACCUAAACAGAAAGCCACGGCUAACUACGUG
rnacentral:rRNA from 1 species